rnacentral:tRNA from 3 species
GCGGGAUUAGUUUAUUGGUAAAACAUCAGUUUUCCAAACUGAGGUGGGGAGUUCGAUUCUCCCAUCCCGCACAA